rnacentral:rRNA from 1 species
AUCGGUACGCUGUUGGGUUGUGAGGGAGUGAGUUGCCCUCGUGUACGAUCCUGCCUUCUGCUGGCCCGUUAGGGGCUGGUGGGAGGCAGGUUUGCGGGCUGGUUCGUCGUGGGAUACCGCUGUCUUUUAUGGUGGUGGGUCCCGCAGGUGCGGCUGGUUUCCGUUCGUAGUUUGAGAACUGCACAGUGGACGCGAGCAUCUUUAUCUUUGUGGCCAAGUUAUUAAGGGCGCACGGUGGAUGUCUUGGCACCAGGAGCCGAUGAAGGACGUGGGAGGCUUGCGAUAUAUGCCC